rnacentral:ncRNA from 1 species
CACCGCCCGUCACUACCACCGAUUGGAUGGUUUAGUGAGGUCCUCGGAUUGGCCCCGCCGGGGUCGGUCACGGCCCUGGCGGAGCGCCGAGAAGACGGUCGGACUUGACUAUCUAGAGGAAGUAAAAGUCAUAACAAGGUUUCCGUAGGUGAACCUGCGGAAG